AGUGAACGCUGGCGGUAGGCCUAACACAUGCCAGUCGAACGGCAGCACAGUAAGAGCUUGCUCUUACGGGUGGCGAGUGGCGGACGGGUGAGGAAUACAUCGGAAUCUACUUUUUCGUGGGGGAUAACGUAGGGAAACUUACGCUAAUACCGCAUACGACCUACGGGUGAAAGCAGGGGAUCUUCGGACCUUGCGCGAUUGAAUGAGCCGAUGCCGGAUUAGCUAGUUGGCGGGGUAAAGGCCCACCAAGGCGACGAUCCGUAGCUGGUCUGAGAGGAUGAUCAGCCACACUGGAACUGAGACACGGUCCAGACUCCUACGGGAGGCAGCAGUGGGGAAUAUUGGACAAUGGGCGCAAGCCUGAUCCAGCCAUACCGCGUGGGUGAAGAAGGCCUUCGGGUUGUAAAGCCCUUUUAUUGGGAAAGAAAAGCAGCAGGUUAAUACCCCGCUGUUCUGACGGUACCCAAGGAAUAAGCACCGGCUAACUUCGUG
rnacentral:rRNA from 1 species